rnacentral:rRNA from 1 species
CAGCCCACGGUAAUACGUAGGUGGCAAGCGUUGUCCGGAAUUAUUGGGCGUAAAGGGCUCGCAGGCGGUUUCUUAAGUCUGAUGUGAAAGCCCCCGGCUCAACCGGGGAGGGUCAUUGGAAACUGGGAAACCUGAGUGCAGAAGAGGAGAGUGGAAUUCCACGUGUAGCGGUGAAAUGCGUAGAGAUGUGGAGGAACACCAGUGGCGAAGGCGACUCUCUGGUCUGUAACUGACGCUGAGGAGCGAAAGCGUGGGGAGCGAACAGGAUUAGAUACCCCCGUAGUCCCUGUCUCUUAUACAC